GCCAGGCGUGGUGGUUCACACCUGAAAUCCCAGCACACUAGGAGGCUGAGGCAGGAGGAUUGCUUAAGCCCAGGAGUUUGAGACUGCAGUGAGCUAUGAUUGCACCACUGCACUCCAGCCUGGGCACCAGAGCAAGACCCUGUCUCAA
ensembl:misc_RNA Metazoa_SRP Metazoan signal recognition particle RNA